UACGUAGGGGGCAAGCGUUGUCCGGAUUUAUUGGGCGUAAAGAGCGUGUAGGCGGUCAGGUAGUCCGUUGUGAAAACUCGAGGCUCAACCUCGAGACGCCGAUGGAAACCAUCUGGCUAGAGUCCGGAAGAGGAGAGUGGAAUUCCUGGUGUAGCGGUGAAAUGCGCAGAUAUCAGGAAGAACACCCGUGGCUAAGGCGGCUCUCUAGUACGGUACUGACGCUGAGACGCGAAAGCGUGGGGAGCGAACAGG
rnacentral:rRNA from 1 species